rnacentral:rRNA from 1 species
GACGAACGCUGGCGGCGUGCCUAAUACAUGCAAGUAGAACGCACAGUUUAUACCGUAGCUUGCUACACCAUAGACUGUGAGUUGCGAACGGGUGAGUAACGCGUAGGUAACCUGCCUGGUAGCGGGGGAUAACUAUUGGAAACGAUAGCUAAUACCGCAUAAUAUUAAUUAUUGCAUGAUAAUUAAUUGAAAGGUGCAAUUGCACCACUACCAGAUGGACCUGCGUUGUAUUAGCUAGUAGGUGAGGUAACGGCUCACCUAGGCGACGAUACAUAGCCGACCUGAGAGGGUGAUCGGCCACACUGGGACUGAGACACGGCCCAGACUCCUACGGGAGGCAGCAGUAAGGAAUCUUCGGCAAUGGACGAAAGUCUGACCGAGCAACGCCGCGUGAGUGAAGAAGGUUUUCGGAUCGUAAAGCUCUGUUGUAAGAGAAGAACGGGUGUGAGAGUGGAAAGUUCACACUGUGACGGUAUCUUACCAGAAAGGGACGGCUAACUACGUG